CGAAUCUCGAGAGCCAGACUCCCAACAUGACUACUUUCUUAAAAAUCGAAGAGAGGGUAAAGGAACAGUACCAUUGCUGGAUAAUUGGAAAGUCUCUGUGUGUCAACCUUUGUGCUUCGUGGCAAGGUAGACUAGCAAACAUGCCCAACCUUUACUCACAUUCGAGAAAACACUCCCAACAAGAUUGCUUGCUCCAAAAUCGAAGAGGCACCGCCCUUCGAAUCUCGAGAGCCAGACUCCCAACGUGAUUACUUUCUCAAAAAUCGAAGAGACACUGCUCCCCGAAUCUUCGAGUGCCAGACCCCC
rnacentral:lncRNA from 1 species